rnacentral:misc_RNA from 1 species
AUUUUGUUUAUCAUUACACGGCGACACGGUGAAGGAAAAGAUUCAGCCUUUUCGGUUAUUUGGGAUUUGUGACAUUUCAUUUUAUUUAACGAUUAAAAAAGCAACAUGGACGUUAACGAGAGUGAUUUUGUUACAAACAUGACUAGCAAUCAUUCGGUUUUUGGAAACCUAGAAGAUUGGAACAACGAGAUUGCGGCUGAUCGUAUACCCAAUACGAUUAUCUUAUGUCUGUACAUGGUAAUAGGGGUCACUGGUAAUUUACUCGUUGUUCUUGUCUAUAAAUCUCGUACACACAUGCAGACGGACAAUCGCUACUUCAUCCUGUUUCUGGCGGAGUUGGAUCUCGUGUCAGUGGUAGUAGGCGUGUCUUAUUCCCUUUACCUGAACUUUGCCUUCCGUACUUCCCAAAGAAACUGCGGUUUGUAAGAUUUUCGCUUUUCUUCUUCAAACCGCCGGAGUGACGUCAGGAAUUGUUCUGUUGUAUAUUUCCAUACAGCGCUACAAACUAGUCUGUAGGCCAGCAAGACGUCAAAUUACUGCUCGACACCGAAAGGUCAUGUUGGGGGUCAGUGUCGCCGCUGCGGCGAUUUUUUCUAUUCCCAUCUCUGCUUACUAUGACGUCAGCAUAAUACCCAACGUUGAGAGAAAUGUGACGGGAUUUGAAUGCGCCAUUGUGAAACCGACAACCCUUCAUAGAGUAACGUACGCGAUGUACAACGGUAUCAUGUUAUUGGCAACCAUUGGAAUCCUGAUAACAAUGGCUGUUCUGUAUACGCUGAUUUUGAAAUCCAUGAUGAAGAGGAGCGCCACCUUCAAGGCACGAGAGAGCAGACGACAAGCAGCUUCGGGAAAUGGCGGAUGCUAAUACAGGUGAUUUUUCAAGCGAGGACUUUCUUAACAUCUCUUCUCAAGUUCCAACUACUGAAGAGGAGUCCGUAUCACGGAAUUCACAAUUCAAUGUGGUCAACUUAGCAAAUGAGAAACACCCAAGAACCUCCAUGAUUAUCGAUAAGGAUGAUCGGUCGAAACAGAGGGAAUCAAUUGCAACAAGAAACUCUUGUGUUAACCCUCAGAUCCCCAAGCGCAAACGUAAAGCCAGCUACCAAGCUGUGAAGAACCAUUUCUCCACCCAUCGAUAUUCCUACAUAUUCAUAUCGAUAACUUUCUUCUUCGCGAUAUCGUACAUACCAACAGUGGUGGUAUCGGCAUUUGAAUCGCGAUCAACAGAGUUCUGGAUUAACCAAUCAUAUGCCUCCUUACAAAUAUUAUUGGUGUUGCGCCGGAUGUAUAUUUUGAAUCAUAUUGUGAACCCGGUGAUUUACGGGUAUUUUGACCGGUCUUUUCGACGCGAGGUCAAGAAAACCAUUCGAAAGAUGUUUUGUGGACUUGUCAAAAUGGAGAUUACUAGUUCCUCUGACAAGACGAGCAACCAUUAUUGAAUACAUUGUGUACAAAUGUAUAAUAUCAAUGUUAUUUUGUACACUCUUUUAAAGAAUUUUUUGUUUUUAAUACGAUUCAAAAAUCAUGAUCUAAAAUCUUGAAAAUGGACUUCUUGAUAACGCAAAGGAUAUCUAAAGUACAGCGAAAGCGAUGUUUUUAAUAUUUCCGUAAGAGUAGACGACUUUUUAGUCUGUUUUUAGAUUUGCCUGUCAUGAUUUUAUUUGGUAACUAUGUUUUUUCCCAACCCACAUAAAAAAGACCAGACACCACGUGACUCUAUUUUUUUAUUUUUCAAUUUUGAUGCUACAAGAUUUUUUAUAGAUCGUUUUUUGUAUGAAAAUUUCAUGUGAAUGUUUUAUUGGAAAUCGUAAGUUUGAAAUUUAAAACAGUUAACAGUUGAAUAAAUAUGUGUAGCUGCC